GCACCGGUAGUGUCAGGGACACUCCGCCUUAGAAUCAGGUUGCCGCCUUCGGUUCAGGCGGAGCUGGGGUUCGACUCCCCGCUGGUGCA